GGAUGCCGCCCCAUGCUGCUGGGAAGGAAGACAGGCUGCCUGCAGUGAGCUCAGCUGUCCUUGCAAGCAUGGGGGCCCAGUGGUUCCAAGUUGAGUCCUCACAAGAUCCACUCACUCCAUACUCAUAGAAUGAGUAUCUUUUUAAAUGAUUGACUGCAAACAGGGGAAUCUAUGGAUGUCAUCGUAUGUCAGUGUAUUGUAAAACAUGUACUUUCUGUUGAAGUACGUCCAACAGAUGCAUUUACUGUAAAACUACAUAGGGGGCUAUCAAAGUCAAGUCAGAUUCAGAUGUUUAGUCUAAACUGACUAUGAGACCUCUUGCUCCUGGCCAUCAUGGGUUCAGGGCAGAGCAUAAGGAGCAUAAGGAGUCUGCUGCUGCUGGUUGGAGGUUGAGGUAUCAUUCUGGGAAGGGUCUAUCUUACUUGAGAGGAGGUGUCAGAAGGAGAUAUUGUUUUUUUCUUUGUGUUUUCUUUUUCGUGAUAUUUGGCGUGGGGCUAUCUGGCUUCCUGCCUGUGGUGGAAAUAAACAUCAAAGCUCAGAAAGUCUUGGGUGUUAAUGACAUUGUUAAGCCACUAUAUAGUAACCUGCUCUGAAGCACUCCUAACUCUGAGAUUUUUAUGUGGGAAUUUUACAAAAUGGAUAUUUAAAGCCAUUGAGUUAAAUUUUUAUUUUCAGGCAAAA